GUUGUUGUUUGGUUCACCCUUUAAACAUCGUUACCAGACAGUGUUAGAGUAGAUCCAAGAAAUCCAGCACUGUCUAGUAAGAUGCCCACAGAGGACCACGGUCUGUCCAGCAGCUGGAGAAAUGGAGCAGCUAUUAAUGAUUCCACGUUCUUCAGGAUGGCAGUGGUCCAUGAAAAAUAAUGGAAAUGGCUUGAGAAAGAUUGCCUCGUAUCACUGAGCAUGGAAGUAAUUUACCAGCAGGGCAAGUUUGCUGUAGCACAUCAUACAACAGAGAAGGUCAAGACCUAGCCUGAGGGGGUCCCUUACCUGAGAGCUCUGUGCCACUGUAAGGAUGCUGGAUUUCUGUCUGACCCCCUGCACAUGCAGGAGAUGGGCAUCAGGGUUUGUUCUCCUCCCUUCCCUGGCCCCUGGUUGCAAGCUGUACCUCUUGAGGUACUAUCGUGCAAUAGCAAGAGAGCUCUGCUCCAAGCUGUGCUGCAUGGGCACUGUUCUACUGCAUGCAAUAUUUAUCAUAGCCCUAAGACACUGUGGAUCCAGCACAAUAUUUCACCGGGCAUAUGCAGGCUGUGUAUAAGACUCAACUGUAACACAACUCAGCUCAUCCAGGCUACACAUCCAUGAUUUUUUUCACUUCUGAAUAGGGUUCAAGGACCAGGCCAGCCUUCACGUGAGGAAUUAAACGCUGCAGCACAGUGUGUGCCUGUAGGAGACCCUGGGUGGGAAGCGGGGUUGCUGCCUGUGUCCUGGAGUGCUUCACACCUGCCAGGUACACUGAAACACCUGCCCAUAACGCCCCGCCUGAUAAAAGCAUCUAUCAGCAGUAAUAACCUUUCUUGGUGAUAGCCAUUAUACAGCACCUCUAGUAUCUGAUAACUGGAGGAGUUAAACUUCCUGGAUUGCUUUAAUUCUCAGAAAAAGAACAAAAAGCGUAUGUGAACCAUUGAAGACAACAUUCCCACAUUAAGUCCUUUUAGGCUGAGCUAGUUCUUUCCAAGUAACUUUAGCCAGUACCACUGGUUUGUGGAAAGAAACCUCACAAAGUAAAAAUCAAGUCCAUUGUAACUUAAAACGUAUGAUAGAGGUCAUCCACUAAAAUAAAAACAACAAUCAGGGGGAAGGGAAGUUAAGUGUCCCUCCCGCCCUCUCUCACACCAAAAAGUAAUAAAUGGAAAUAAAAAUAUAUCUGUAUAAAAAUAAAAGAAAUAACAUAUACGUUACUUAAAAAUUCAAGAUUUUAAACUAAAUGGCUUUGCUAUUAGAACAUCUUGCUGGAGGACAGCAGUCUAGAGGAACUAUGUGAAAAGGAAGGAGUAAGUUACCAUAGCAAAGCUGAAAAAGUAAAUUCCACUAUCGAUUUCAGGUGUUUGUUUCUUAAAUUUUCUUAUACUUAGAGAGAGAAGAACAUUUUGAUUUUGAGAGAAAAUUAUGAGCUAGAAAACUCAAAUGUUAAAUUUCAGUAAAAUGUUUUCUUUCAUUCUCUUGAAAGCUACCAUAAUUUGAAAGUAAAUAGAAUCUAUUUGGAGAAGAGCACUUGCAUUUGUCUUUGCUACAAAACUUAGCAUUUUCCUUUGAAUGUGUUCUUAUCAUUGCAGUAUCAAACAUAUGCUAUCCUUUAUAUUCUGCAUGAUUUUCUAUUUACAAGCUCAUUUAAAAUAAAAUUAUUUCAUAAUUAUUUCAAAAUUAUUUCAGAAUUCUACAGUCAGGACGAGAUUUUCUUAUAUUUGCUUUUAUCUUUUAUUCUAGCACAUGAAACAUUUCAUUAUAAAUUUAAUCAUGCUUGGGGAGGCUCGACAGUCAAUCAAGCAUGGAUUUCUCUACUGGCCACUAACCUCUGCUUCCGAAUUUGCUGUUGAACUUUUCCACGUUGUACACGAAACACCAUAAUCAUCAUUACCAGGCAGUAUUAGAAAAACAGAAAACAUCCAAUGCUGCCCAGUAAGAUGGUAAUGGCAUCUCAGGAUCAUGGUCUACAAGCAGUAGGUAUAGCACAAGCUAGAAAGCCUCAUUAUUGGGAGAAGGAAAAAGAGGGGGAAAAACACUACCUGUAGCUGUCCCUCCUCCUUUGUGGUUUCGACAAUUACCAAAUACUGUUCAUGUGGGAGAGGAGGAUGUAAUGACAUUCUGAAAAAUUAUCCCAGAAGUACUUGUACAGGUCACGAUACACACAGGUCCUACCUCUUCCCACCAUCCCCUGGCUCCCCACGCACAACCUUCAGAGCUGU